UAGGGACGUCAGGGCUCUGGAGCCCCCCCCGAGCCCCGGCUAACUUUAUCUGUAGGGGGGCA
rfam:Felis catus breed Abyssinian Contig133911.1, whole genome shotgun sequence. [26-MAY-2016]